rnacentral:rRNA from 1 species
AUUGAACGCUGGCGGCAGGCCUAACACAUGCAAGUCGAACGAGUGGCGGACGGGUGAGUAAUGUCUGGGAACCUGCCUGAUGGGGGGGGAUAUCUACGGGAAACUGGAGCUAAUCCCGCAUACCCGCAGAUGUGCCUAUAUGGGUUUAGCGAGUUGGUGGGGUAACGGCUCACCAAGGCGACGAUCCCUAGCUGGUCUGAGAGGAUGACCAGCCACACUGGAACUGAGACACGGCCCAGACUCCUACGGGAGGCAGCAGUGGGGAAUAUUGCACAAUGGGCGCAAGCCUGAUGCAGCCAUGCCGCGUGUAUGAAGAAGGCCUUAGGGUUGUAAAGUACUUUCAGCCGGGAGGCGUUACCGGCAGAAGAAGCACCGGCUAACUCCGUGCCAGCCGCCGCGGUAAUUC